rnacentral:lncRNA from 1 species
CAGCUUUACAGGAAAAGAAAUAGUAAGGUUCUGAAAUCUUAUUAGGAAUACUGAUAAGGAAUUACAAAAAGACAGAAAAUACGUGGGAAAAUUUCCCUUUUCCCUUAAAAUGGAUGACUUUGAAUGUACAUACUAUGAUUGACAUCAACAUUUAUUGAGUGACUAUUCAAUCGACAACAUAAAAUUUACUCUCUCUGUAUGCCCGCAAAGCUCUGUCCUCUUGCAGUCCUUGGGCGUGUCUAAACAAAGGGCUCUUGGCUCAGCCUCGUCCUCACAGAAAACCUGAAGCUGCCUUCGUGUACAUACCGUCCAGCAGUGUACAUGCCUCUUAGCCCCGUUGACUGAGCAACAGCAAAAUGGCCCAGAUGCGAUACCACUCCUCCUCCUAGACUCCUCUAAGGGGAGAGACGAGGCGUGCGGCAAUGCUGGGCUGUGUGUGAGGGGAGCUCUGCGUUCUGCUUUUCCAUCAGCCGCCACCCCACAGCACCAAGUCCUGGGUGAGGAUGGGUAGCUGGAUAAAACCUGUGGACUGGAACAUAUUUGACACCGUCUGCAAAGCACUAAGAGUCCACGGAUGAGGAAUUGCAGUAAUGAGCGGAGAGCAGCACGGUGGCUGUUAACAUUGCUGCUCUUCCAGGCAGAGGUCAGCACUGCCUCGUGAGCGAGUGACUGAGCACCGCAGAAUCGUGCAGCGUCUCCUCUGCAAUCACAUUUGGCCCUCUCUGGAGUAAUCAGACAAAGUGCCCACAGGAGAGCGAGGCCCGAGAGCCAUGAGGCUAAUAGCAUGAUGCCGCAGAAAAAGCAUGAGCUUCGAUGCCAAAGAGAAGAGGAACAGAAUCUCGGAUCUGCCCACUUUGUGUCCUGGAGCACAGAUAGACUACAAACUUCAUCAAGGCGGUUGUACCCAUUUUGGAGUGCAUUCAGCUACAAGUAACAGAAACUUGACAGUGGCUUCAACAAAUAAGGAUUCACUUUUGUCAUCUAAAAAAGAAGUACAGAGGUAGUGGCUGCUGGUAAUGUUUCAGAACCUCAACAAUGUCACAAUGUCUCUUUGACUCUUUUGGUCUUUUCUUCAUGGGUUCAAGAUAGCUGUUGCAGCUCCAGCCAUCAUAUCCAAAUUAAAGCCAGAAGAAAGGAA